ACCAAUCUUUUCGUCAAGGGGUUGUACGAGAAAUGGUUAAGCAACGGUGAAAACCCAGUUACAGUGGAGAUGGAGAAGAAUUUUGGGCAUGUGGCUAUGAAUAUAACGGUGAGGAUGGUCGCAGGAAAACGUUAUCUGAGUGGCAACGAAGGGGAUGAAGAGGAGUCAUCAAGAUGCCGCAAAGCUCUGGGAGAUUUCUUCCAUCUUGUGGGGGAAUUUAUGGUCUCAGAUGCAAUACCUUUUCUAGGAUGGCUAGAUGUAUUGAGGGUAAGAAAUGUUUAAACAUAAUCAAAUCGUUAUCGAAUCGAUCAACCAAAAGUUUGAUCCAAUCGACAAGCAACGCAUGUAUCACACGAAUUUUUCUAAUAGCUUUGUCUAUUGAGUCCCCAUACAAACCAUACCAUAAAUCAUUGCCUAGCUAAAUACUCUUUGUGAAGGGACGUGUGGCUGAGAUGAAGAGGACCGCCAAGGAACUGGAUUGGGUCCUGGGAAGGUGGGUCGAGGAGCACCGGAAAAGAAGGGCCGUUGCAAAAGUCGAGGAUGAUGAGCAAGACUUCAUUCAUUUCAUGCUCUCUGCAACGGAAUUGGAGGAAGGGAAGUACUCUGUUCAAGAGGCUGAUACCAUCGUCAAGGCCACUUGCUUGGUAAACCUGUUAAAACUUUCACUGCAAAACCUUCUCCAUCAUUUUUUACAUUUUUUUCUUCUUUAAGGCUGCUAGCUAGCAGUUCUGGUCCGUGUUUGUGCUCCUAGUUCCCAGUCAGAUUAACAAGUUAAGAUGUAGAAGUCGAAGUAAGUGAUAGCGAAAACCUCCUUAUAAGAAAUUCAAACACGAUUGAUUCCAGGUCAGGACCCACGACCAGGAAAGUCUAGCCAAUCAAGGAAAUCUAUGCAACUGCUUUAAAGGGUCACCACACAUUUCAGGAAAAAAUCUAUGCCAUGAUAGACAUACAAAUUAGUCAUUACACAAACUUGUGAUGUCAUUUAGAACGAAAAAUCGAGAGAAAAAAGGGCUUCUUCAUUUAAUUAUUUCCAAAAUAACCUAAAAUUCAAACUUCUACAAUGUCUCCAAGUGGCAAUAUAUCAUAUCAGCAAAAAACAUUUCAAUGCUCAUAUAGAAAAGAAAAGAAGAAAAACAAAACAUUGCAAUGCUUGAAUAUUAGAAGAUGAAUACGUUCUUCAUUUUACAAACUUUUGGACUCUUACCCUAAAUCGUUUAAUUAACUACACCAAGAGCACAAAACUAGCCACUGGGAAAUGAUACUCAUUUAUAUUGCAGAGUGUGAUCUUGGGGGGCAAUGACACCACAGUGUUGACUCUUACAUGGGCACUAUCACUUCUCCUAAACAACCCCCACUCGCUAGAAAGGGCACAAGAUGAACUGGAUGUCCAAGUUGGCAAGCACCGCCAAGUGGAAGAAUCGGACAUAAAGAACUUAACCUACUUACAAGCUGUAGUCAAGGAAACACUGCGUCUUUACCCUGUACUGCCACUUUCUGUACAAAGGGAAGCCAUGGAAGACUGCAUUGUAGCCGGCUUCCAUGUCCCGGCAGGUACGCGCCUUAUGGUUAACUUGUGGAAGCUGCAACGUGACCCCAGAGUCUGGUCACGCGCAUCAGAGUUUCAGCCAGAGAGAUUCCUGACCGACCAUGUUCAUGUGGAUGUUAGAGGUCAAUCUUUUGAAUAUAUACCAUUCGGUACUGGUAGGAGGAUGUGCCCAGGGGUCUCGUUUGGCCUACAGGUAGUGCAACUUAUUCUUGCCCGGCUGCUUCAUGCAUUCAAACUGGAAAGAGUCUCGGGUGCAGAGGUUGAUAUGAGUGAGAGUCCUGGAUUGACAAUGCCCAGAGCAACACCACUGGAGGCUGUACUUACACCAAGGUUACCAGCCACAUGCUACUAAGCGUUUACAGAGAAAGCAACAAGUCAAGUGUGUCUCAUGUCUGUACCUAUAUUCACACUACAUAUCUGCCUGUAUGCAUAAGUUAAAUGGAGUUCCCAAGUUUGCUCUGCCUUGCCUUGUCAAUCAUUUGCUGCAAUACAUCUCUAGCCUAAUUUCUUCUGAAAAAAUAAUAUGGUUAAAGUUUCCUCAUAUUGAUCUGCCACCUCCCUUAUCAAGUAAAACAGCCAUGAUGCUGGUUAAGUCGAUGUGACAACCCAAAUCUGAUCCCAGCCAGGAGCUGAUGGGCCCCUAAUCACCCUUACAUACGCGGCAAAACAUAUCCCUUCAUGUGAUAUAUUCAACUUUCUAAACAUAGAGGUAUUAAUGGUAUCUUCUCAAAGAAAAAAAGAACUGUGUCGCGACCUCCCAAAGCGGGUUGGACCACCUAAGGGUUCGGCUAAUGGAUUGCUAAGCCUAGACUUAGCUCGAGCUCUCCCAAGCUCAUACAAAUUCACAACUUAUGGUUUAAGUUUUUAACAUGCUAAUGAUGUUUAUCAUGGAGUCGUCACUAAUCUAUUUUUGGUGGGUCGAUUAGAAACCAAGUAAAGUAAUGGGAGAAUUACGUCACUCCUACGGACCAGAGAUUGUGAGUUUGGGAACUUGGUUACACUAGAUUUAUCUAAUGCCCUUUCGGUACCAUUCUUUUAUUUUCAAAAAUAUUUUUGCAGGCAGCUUGAAUUGAUUUUAAUUUAUCUUCCUAACAUGUGAGGUGAUCAUGCGGGUGUGCAAACCGCCAAUUUAACACCCAAGAAAGCAAUGAAUAAAUUGCAGGACUUAUCUCAUAGCAACGAAAGUAUUUGCAUUGUUAGAUCAGAAUUCACAUCAACAGAUCUAGAUAUGAUUUCUAAUUAACACGCAAUUUCCUUUUUUUGGUUUUCACUUAUUUAAUGAGAAUCAUGCUUCAUGCAAUGCAUACUAUUAAUUUAACAUGAUAUGUCAUGGUAGUAUAUCUUAAACUAUAUGACAUGAGCAAAAUAAUAAUUUUUUUUAGAAAUGUAAUAAUUAAAUGUGCAACCUAAAUUAACCUAAUGACUUAAUUAUAAUGACGAGCAAUUUCUAAUUAAAUGAACCUAAUAACAAUCACUAAAUGACAUCUAAUCCUACAUGGCAUGCACAUGACAUUUUUUCUCUUUUUCUUAAAAAAUGCAAUUUAUCCUAGAAAAUAAAACUAAUUUAUUCUAAGACAUUUUUUUUGUAUUUUUCAUGAAAUUCGGAAUAAAAAAAUGAAAAUUAUCUAUCUAAAUUAAAAUAUCAUCUAAUUUGUAUUAGGAAUGAGGUUAAGCCAAAUCCUUAUUUAAACUAGAAUGUUAUUGUAACUUAGAAAUCCCUAACUAAAAUGCAAUCUAUCUAAAAAUUUAUCAACUCAUAAUAAAUUAAAAAAACUAUUAUCUAGAAUUAAAUUAUAUGAAAUUUUACCCUAAAAUUCAAUGACAUGCAAAGAAUACCAUAAUUCUAAAUUUUUUUUUUUUAUGUUUCUGUAUUAAUUUCGAAAUUAAAAAUUGUCAAGGUAUUAAACAUGAAACCUAAGUUAAAAAACUAGCAACCUAAAUUGAUUGAUUUGAUUUUCUUUUUAAUUCGAAAUAAAAUUCCUAUUCUAAAUAUGCAAACCUUAAAACAGGAAAUAAACCUAAUUCUAACCUACAUUUUUUUGGAUUUUUAUUUUUUAUUUUAUGAAAGCGAAAUUCAACCAACACCACGGCAAAUCAGACAGGAUAUGAUUGAUAUCUAAAAAUUGACGAACCAUAUCUCGCGCAUGAGAUCGGGUUGGCCAAUUUUAAAUAAAAUCGCGAAUCAAAUUCCUGGCAUGAGAUUGGAUUUGCGAUUUUUCAAGCAAUUGCAAGUCGGAUUUCGGGCGCGAAAAUCGGAUUGUCGAUCACAAAUUUCACAUGCUAUUUCAUGUUGAACAUUCUCAAUCUUAUAUUAAGGAAUGAUUCUACUAAAAAAGAACAAAACAAAUGAUAAAUAAAUAAAUAAAAUAAACAAAAACACUACCUAGUUUAGAUGAUUCGUUUCCAAAACGGGACCGGCAACAAGGGACUCACGAACGGCAGCGAUGACGCGGCCACGAAGCUUGGGACCUGUGAUUCAGUUGUUCGCCAGAGGCUCUACGGGUGGCUUGGGAUAAGCUGCAGUGUUUGGUUCGAGCUGAUUGGCUUGUUAGCAAGAAGUGCUCGUAGCUCAAUGGGGUCCACACACGUGUAUUUCUUUUCGUGAAUGGGUCUCCACUAAUUCCCACCUUCACCAUUUUGCUGUUUUGCUCUUUUUCCUUUUAUUAUCUUUCCUCCCCAGAGCACGUGACUUUGGAAUUCGCUGCAGGUGGAGAUAUCUGCAAAAUAAAAGAAAGUAACAAGGACACGACGGAUUCAGGUGGACAGUGGCGACAUUCCAGAGUUGGAUUCAGCAGCACCGUCGUCUUUGCCGAGGGAUAGCGUCGAGCAGCGUUCACCGGUAGAAGAUUGGUAAUAGUGUCGUUGCUGCUCAUGGCAUCGAGCUGGGUUCCGGCGAGCGGUGGCAACAGCAAUGAGGGCGGUGAUGUGAGCACCGGCUUGGACGAGUAACUUCGGUGCAGCAACCGGGGGGGGGGGGGGGGGGGGGGGGGGGGGGGAUUGUAAAAAAAAAAGAGGGACGCGCGGUUGCUCGGCUGCAGGGGCGUUGCUGGCGAUGGACGAGCGAGCAGGGGUGCGGAGCAGAGGCUGAGCUCGCGGCGGCUGGCGUCAACAGCAGCGGUGGUGGACGCGGGGGCGGCGCAGGCACGGAGAGAGGGACAACGGCGACUAGCGGAACGGCGGUGGCGCGACGCGGGCUGCUGCAGUGACGGCUGGCGGAGAGAGACACCGGCGUUCGGAGGCGUGGCGGUGCAGCGCAGGGAUCGGCUCAAUGGCAGCGGGCUCGCGACCAAAGAUCCUGCAAUAAAACUUGUGGAACCGACUCGGUUCGGACACGAGUGAGAAUAGGGGGCGGUAGGAACGCAACAGCAGCUCCUGGUCAAUCUCGUCGUGGGCUUUAUGGAGGCAACUCAGGCGCAGCAACUCGGGAGGAAGAGCUGGUGGACUCGGCGGACUGAGAGGCAGCGGCGCGGGCGGCAGCAGCGACGGCGUUCGCGCGGGCUGCUGCGACGGUUGCUGCAGUGGUGGCGACGAGCAGAGGUGGCUGCUGGUUGCAGGAGUCUGGGACGGUACGGAACGGCAGGGGUCGACGGCAAAGCCUCGCAAAGAAGAAGAACAGUAACUGUUCUUUAUUCUCUCUUUUUUUGCUUUUCUUUUCUCUCGCCUCUCACGUCCACUCUACGGGCUCUCUUUUUUUAAUAGCUCUUUUUCUCACAAACCUCUCAAGUGAAUUUUUUCGUUCCCUCCUCCUUGACUUCACCUCCGGUUUUCCUCUAACGAGACUCCUAUCUCUCUUAAUCUCUUCUUUUUUCACUCGUCUGUAUGUCUCUCAGCGGGCCUUUUUCAUAGAUUUUUCUCUUAACUCCUCUGGCCUCCUUCCGACCACACUCCUUCCGUGGUCUUAUUUAUAGGCGUUCCACCACCUCUUGAAGAUAGCCGACUUUAGUGUGAAAAGAUCCAGCCGCAACUUUUCCAAAAUCCAAGUUGAACUUUGCUUUCUUUCGAUCUCCACUCCAGCAAGGAAAAUAUUAUAAAAAGGAAAAUAUUAUAAAAAGGUUAGCCCAUCUUCUUGCAGGCGUCCGUAGAAUUUUCACGUCCCCCAUUCCAUGCGUGAGGAGGGAGAAAAUGGACGUUGGAUUCUUCUUUCUUCUUCUUCAUGCUUGGAGCUUCUUCGGCUACUUGUCCCUCCCUUCUAUAGGAUUGCCGCAACUUUUGACUUUUCUUGUUUAUUACUUGCUUCCUCCUUCAGCAAAUUUUCUCGUUGCUUCUCCUGACAACCCACACUUGAGAGAGAGCAUAUCAUGGGCUCAUUUUGCUUCUCUGAGGGCUCCUCUAGAAUCCGCACGUCCGCCGAAUUUGUGCGUGCAUGCGCAUGCAUUAAUGAGGGAGAGACAACGGACGUGCAAGAACCUCCUUCCUCCUUUUAUUUUUUUUUUUUUGACUUUCACUCUUUUGCGCGUUCAAACAAGCGGAGAGAGACCAUUCCUUCUGUGAACAUUAUCGACCACGAGCUGCUGCGUCUUGUUGCCUUUUGGUACCAAUGCAUAUGCAACUACAUGAAAUACAAUUUUACUAUUUUUUUUAGGGGUUAAAGAUUAAUCCCUAAAAUUUUUUAUGUAAUUAAUUACUAAAUGAUUAGUCAAAAUUUAGGUGUCAACAAACUAGAGCAUGGAUCUUUUUAAGACUCUCUUGCCAUUAUAAAUGCAAAUGUAGCCAUUGGUGAUGUUACGCUAAAUUACAAUGGGCCAAAUAAUAUGAUCUUGCAACCGCAUCCGCUACUGGAAAGAACAUUUUACAGAAGUACAUUCUUACAGAUUUCUUAUCACCAUGGAGCACUAACCUCCUCCUGGAACACAUGUUCAUGCAUUCCUUCAGUGCCAGCCGCCAUGUUUUCCUCCAAUUGCAAUUUCAUAUACACAAGAAUUUUAACAUUUGACGUUAGCUUUUCCCAUAAGAAAAAUAUUUUUUAUUUUUAAAAAUUGAAAAAAUACCCAAAACUCAAUAACUAUUUAGCUCCAAAGUUGGAUUUUUUUUUUUCAUUUGUAAAAGCAAAUCAGAUAUCUAUCAAUAUAAUUUAAGAAUUUCAAUAAAAUUAUCUAGAGACCAAGUUAUGGUAAUAGCCUGGAAUAGUCAGUUAACCAUCAAAUAGAAAAAAAAAUAUCAGCAUUAUUAUAGCAAGGGAACUAUAUGAAUUCAAAAUUUUUGAAUAUAUAUAAAUAAUAUAUUAUUAUAUAUGUUGACCUUACUUUUCGUGCGCGAGACAAUAUUUGUAUUUUCCCACAAUAUUAUAGCGGGUGGUCACUCCUCGCUGCUUUCUCAAGUGCGUCUGAUUCGUCUCCGUUUGGAAAGCCAGAAAGGAUAGGGGAGAAAGUGAAGGAAAAAGCAGCAAGAAAGUGAGAGAAAAAGGCUAGAAAAUCCCCUUAGAAAAAUCAUUCCGCCCCUCCUUUCAAUCUCAGCUCUCAAUUGGUUGGUCUGGAAAGGCCUUAUUCUCUGCUUCACAAUGGAACGAGCGCAUCAUAACUCUAGUAUUGCAUUCAAUUGACUUCCCAUCGGGUGUUUCUCCUUCUAUCCAUUAUGGAAUUCUGCUCGACCGACAAACGUGAAAUCCACUCCGAGUUUUCUCGAAGCACUCCUUCUAUGCCUCAGAACCAAUACUAGACGUACCAACGGGUUCGCUCUUCUCACCAAGAAGCAGGAAAUGAAUCACAGUGAAGAAACAAAGAAGGCAAUUAGCACGUACCUCGUGCUCCUGCUGGGACUCCCUUUCCCCAUACUCUCAAACACAGACACCCUGGAAUCCUAAGGAACAAAAACUUGCUGGAGACGUCAUGAUGAGAUAACGCCAAAAUUCGAACCUUUCAUUGAAGAAAGAUACAAAUUAGUUUAGCAAAGUAUCUCUAGAACCAUCCCAAAGAUUGACUCUCCUAGUGUUAUCUGAUAUUCAGGGAACGUUGAAGAGAGGAAAGCUGCUAAUGAAGAUCCUAUCGAUGUGAAGAGGUACAUCGACCUCAAAAAUCCUUACUUCGUGACGGUGGUCCAGGCUCUAAGAAGUUCUUGGUAUGCCUGCUCUUCGAUCCCGUUUUCGUCUCGCAUUGUGUAUCCUCUUAAAGUGUGAUCUUGUUAUGAAUGCUUUGCUCUUGCCUUCAUAGAUCCGCAGUCUGUCAAUUUUGCUGCCAUGUCACUCUUUCUUUCUUGCUCUACAGAAUGAUCAUUACAGAACACUUAUUUUUACAAAUGAGAGAUUUUGGCCUAGAAUUAUUGACAUAGAGUCCUCAUUGCAUUCACCUGUCUUGUUGCAGUAUGUUCCACGCAGUGUCCUUAUCGAUUAUGAACUCAAGUUACCUCAGGCCGUUUUGUUCCAUGAUCCCACUGGGAGGACAUGGAGAGGGACAGUUAAGGUGUGGACAGACAGCCGCACCUGGAUCACCGGCUGGGGGGCCUUAUGCCGCCAUAACAAUUUAAAGAUUAACAACCGGUGUAUAUGUGAGCUUCUGGAGGAAAAUGGAGUCACCGAUCGCAUCAUUAAGGUUCACAUCAUAGGAGGCAACAGUACCUGAAAACCCCAGCUCGUGGUGCCUAAUUUGAUCUGGGACUUUGGCUAGCUGUGAUUAAUUUUUCAUGUGAAAGUUCCAGUUAUUUGAACGGUACUUUAUUAAUAUGCUGGACUUCAAUGUGGUUCCUGUUGUGUCAUCUGUUCAAAACAAUGUUAUACGCUUUUAUUCGGUUCUUCAGUUCUUGCAAGUUAUAUCUUUACUUGUAAUUGCACUGGGAUUUAUUAGAUAGAACAAGCUGGCAUGAACGGGUAGUCCAUAUUUACUGCAAACCAAAGGCUCUAACGUCAUUGCUUUUCUUGGACAAUAUUUGAAGCUGCAGCAAAUCUGCCCUCGAGCCAACCACACUCACCUUAUCCUUUCUCUAUCUCCCAUUCUUCCACAUACAAAGCCUCACUUUGCUUCCCUCCAUUUAGUUCAGCAAGCUCAGAGAAGUAACCCGCCGCUUAAAAAAAGGUAUUGAACAUUUUCAACUGGAAAUAGGCACACACACAUUGUCUUCCCAGAAAGAUCUAGCUCUUCUCACUGCUGUGAAAUGUUCUUGAUUUCUAAUUAGGCUGUGGAAUUCCAGGAUAUGGCAACCACCUCUGCUACCAUCGCUUCUUUGGCUCUCACUGCCUCUGCCUCUGCCGUGAGCAAAGGAAAGAGGACGAACAAUCUGAAUUACAUAACAGGAAUGAAUGCAUUUGGUGGGCUAAAAGCUCACAACAGAGUGGCUUCCCUAGGAGUCCCUGUGUGCACUGAGCAGUCAUUUGCAAACAUGGUGGGCUCUUUGAGGUCACAAGGAAAAGGCAGAGGCGGAGGCACUCUGUCUUCUAAGUGCAAUGCUGUUGGUGAGAUAUUUCGGAUUGCAGCCAUCAUGAACGGCCUUGUUCUAGUUGGUUUUGCAGUUGGGUUUGUUCUUCUCAGGAUCGAAGCCUCUGUGGAAGAAGCCGAAUGAGAUGUCAUAAGAUAAUUUCAUGAUAGGUUGCAGCUUAUUGUAUUCUUUGCAAUGAUCUCAUUCCUUUAGCUACUGUCAAGCCAAAAGAUGACGAUUUUGUAUGUUUCUUUCUACUAAAGAUUGCAUUCAAACCAGAUUCUAACCUGUGCAUCUCGAUGGCUAGUUUUCAUUGCAAGGAUCAUGUGUUUCAUGUCAAGGGCUAAAUUGGCUUGGUCAUCAUUUACUUGGCAGCACAUACAGGAACUUUUACUCAAACAGCAUCAAUACAUUAAAGUCACAGAGAUUAAAAUGGAAAAAUUGGAAGGAAUUUGGACUGAAUUCUGAUGAGGCAUUUACAGCUUACAAAAAGUACUAUCAGAGAGUCUGGCAGCAAGAAUUUUCUGAACAACCAUUCUUAGACAUUAACUGUCAUUUUCAGGCAACCAUGGCACGCGACAUACUUUGCAAUGCAACAACAAAUGCAAAGUUGUGGGCCUCGCUCUGUGUACUUGCACAGAAAUGCUAUCUCCCUCCAAUCAGGGACUGCUGAUCUUGAAACUUAUGUCCUUUCCUGUCAACCACACUCAACGUUGACAAUGAACAAUGGGGCUGCUAACUCUACUACUUGAGAAAAGAUUUGUUGCGUUUGAGAUUCCUUCGGUUUUAUGUUGUCUAGUAUGUAUCCUAUCCAAAGCAAUAAACGCAUAAGCUUUCAUCAAAAUUAGAAGACAAGUACUGCAUGAAUAAUUAAGUGCCUCCGAUAACAUCUUUAAACUUUGAAGGAUGAAAAAAGAUCUGGUUUCACAUGUGGUUCUCUAAUCGCAAAACAUGCAGCUGUGGUUGCCCUUUCUAGACAUGACACAAUUUCAUCUGAUCAAUACGUCUGAGUUGUGUCAAUGGCACCUCGUGAUAACAGAGUUUGUGACUGCCAUUGCACAGAUGUACAAGCAAAAAUGUCAGCACUGUCUUCUAGUUGUCGAUGCUUGUGGGAUGCAAUUAUGCUACGAGAUCUAAUUCCAAUUGAAAUGAAACUUCUGUCAAAGUCGACAUCCCAUAAGAUGUACCACUCCAUUUAACUGGACUGGAUUGCAGAACACAGCAAACAGGUUAAAGACCUCUGAUUGAUGUGAUACGCAACGAGUACUUGCACAAGUACACUCAAACCGAUGCACAAAGUAAGUUGUGUUCCAAUGUGUGUUCCUUCUUUUGUUUUCGUUUUCCGUUCCAUUUUUUGCAUAGUUGACAUAGUGUACUUUUGGAAUUUAUAGGGAUCUCUGGGAAUGAUCCAAUCAGAUGUAAUGAAUUAGCAGAUCCAUAAUCAAGCCUGAAGAUUUUCAUGAUUAGAAUACCUUCCCUUAGAGGAGGUAAUAUGGUUAUAAGCAGACUGUCGUCGCUAACACCAGUGAUUUCUCUUUUCAAAUGAGGCUAAGAAUAGUCAUUGGUUGUAUUAGGUGAUCUCGGGUCUCUCUCACCUCAAAAGUUAGCUCAAGGGGUGAGGUUUUCCCUCAUGCUUGUAAACUAACCAUUAGCCCCUUCCACAAUCAAUAUAGGACAAUUUCAACAAUCUCCCUCUCAAACAUCAAGCCCUGAAUCAGAGGCGCAACAAUCUGUAACUCUCCUGUGUGACUCUUGAGUCUAAAUUUACUGGCAAAUUGGGCUCAAAUACCAAUAUUGGAUGAUCUUGGGCUUCUCUUACCCCAAAAGCUAGCUCAAGGAGUAAAGUUUUCUUUUGUACUUAUAAAUUGACCACUUGCUCCUUCCACAACCAAUGUAGGAUAACCUCAACAAAAGUCGGACAUUCUUUUUUCUCUCUAUUGGAUGGGAAUUGUGUGCUUUGACUUGCUUUCAAGAUAAGAUACGGUAGAAGACAACUCUUCUGGUCAGGUCAUUUUCACCAAACACUGCAAUGCUUAAAUGUAAGAGAAUUGCAUUGCGGAUAUAAUUUCUUCCAAGAAAGGGACAGAGUUCGCAAUCUGCUCACCGUCCAGCCCGUCCCUGAAAAGAUUGACCUAUUACACUAUUUCCCGUUUCUGAGGAUUAAAUAGCGAUCAAGCCAGAGAGAAUUGCUUGUGAACGAUACAUAAAUACAUAGUUUUAGAAUCCAAGGAGAGAAAACUCUCUCUCUCUCUCUCUCUCUCUUCUCUCGCAUGCGCACACACGUGUGCAGACGUGACUGGUAGUAGAAACUGUUCUCUUCUAGAUGGAUCAGUGGCCAUCAAUUUUAAGAGACUUUUCUUGCCUCCUACAGUCCAGUCCACUCACUCCCCUCAGAAAGAAAAUAAUGUGUUCCCAUUGUCCAUAUUCAUUUUACGGAUCAAGUAGAUGAUAUGACAUUCAACAAACAAUUUGGCUGGCGCUUGGAAAGGAAAGCAUAUAUUCUCCACAUAUCGCUCAUUUGGCUGUCGGUUUUAUCCUCCGCAUCAUCCAUGAAACAAGUCUAGAUAAUGGUUUAUCACUUUGCGUUCCCGUAAAGUCUUCUAAGCCUUUGUCGUAUCAGCAAAACAGGCCAUCCGAAGUUGCUCGCAAACCAUCUCAAGACUAACUGCAAACCAUGGAGCUGCUCUCCCUCGACCUUCAAAAGAUUGGCCUUGCUGUUCUUCUAGUCAUCAUCUAUCUCAGUGCUUCACUGCACAGAUCCAAAAGAAGCAACAAAAGGGGCCAAACACUACCAGAGGCAGCAGGAGCAUGGCCUUUGUUUGGCCAUCUUCAUCUUCUGGGGCCAAACAAGCUACUGCACAGAAUCCUGGCAGUCAUGGCCGAUCAGUAUGGACCGGCCUUCUCUAUCCGCCUUGGCAUACUCCGAGUACUCGUGGUAAGUAACUGGGAAGUGGCUAAAGAGUGUUUCACUUCAAAUGACAGGGUCUUUCCCACCCGGCCCAGAUCACUAUCUAUCAAACUCAUGGGUUAUGACCAUGCCAUGCUUGGAUUCGCUCCUUACGGUCCAUACUGGCGUGGUAUGAGGAAGCUCGCCGUGGUUGAGCUCCUCUCAAACCACCGGCUCGAUUCGUUCAAGCAUGUGAGAGAUGCAGAAACCAAUCUUUUCGUCAAGGGGUUGUACGAGAAAUGGUUAAGCAACGGUGAAAACCCAGUUACAGUGGAGAUGGAGAAGGAUUUUGGGCAUGUGGCUAUGAAUAUAACGGUGAGGAUGGUCGCAGGAAAACGUUAUCUGAGUGGCAAGUGGCUAUGAAUAUAACGGUGAGGAUGGUCGCAGGAAAACGUUAUCUGAGUGGCAACGAAGGGGAUGAAGAGGAGUCAUCAAGAUGCCGCAAAGCUCUGGGAGAUUUCUCCCAUCUUGUGGGGGAAUUUAUGGUCUCAGAUGCAAUACC
rnacentral:lncRNA from 1 species